UACGAAGGGGGCUAGCGUUGCUCGGAAUCACUGGGCGUAAAGCGCACGUAGGCGGACUCUUAAGUCGGGGGUGAAAGCCCGGGGCUCAACCCCGGAAUUGCCUUCGAUACUGGGAGUCUUGAGUAUGGCAGAGGUUGGUGGAACUGCGAGUGUAGAGGUGAAAUUCGUAGAUAUUCGCAAGUACACCAGUGGCGAAGGCGGCCAACUGGGCCAUUACUGACGCUGAGGUGCGAAAGCGUGGGGAGCAAACAGG
rnacentral:rRNA from 1 species